GUAAUCUGGUGUUGUUAUGCAUAUUAUGUUUUCGUCAUAGGGGUAAUUUGUAGUUGAUUACAGUUUAAUA
rnacentral:tRNA from 1 species